rnacentral:rRNA from 1 species
ACUCCCGAAUGAAAAACGUUGAAGUGACUGCGGAGGGACAUUACACAAAUAUGAAGGCGGGCUGGAACCUCUCGGGGUUACAGCCUUGCUGAAUUAUUCACCCUUGUCUUUUGCGUACUUCUUGUUUCCUUGGUGGGUUCGCCCACCACUAGGACAAACAUAAACCUUUUGUAAUUGCAAUCAGCGUCAGUAACAAAUUAAUAAUUACAACUUUCAACAACGGAUCUCUUGGUUCUGGCAUCGAUGAAGAACGCAGCGAAAUGCGAUAAGUAGUGUGAAUUGCAGAAUUCAGUGAAUCAUCGAAUCUUUGAACGCACAUUGCGCCCUUUGGUAUUCCAAAGGGCAUGCCUGUUCGAGCGUCAUUUGUACCCUCAAGCUUUGCUUGGUGUUGGGCGUCUUGUCUCUAGCUUUGCUGGAGACUCGCCUUAAAGUAAUUGGCAGCCGGCCUACUGGUUUCGGAGCGCAGCACAAGUCGCACUCUCUAUCAGCAAAGGUCUAGCAUCCAUUAAGCCUUUUUUUCAACUUUUGACCUCGGAUCAGGUAGGGAUACCCGCUGAACUUAAGCAUAUCAAUAAGCGGAGGAAAAGAAACCAACAGGGAUUGCCCUAGUAACGGCGAGUGAAGCGGCAACAGCUCAAAUUUGAAAUCUGGCUCUUUUAGAGUCCGAGUUGUAAUUUGCAGAGGGCGCUUUGGCUUUGGCAGCGGUCCAAGUUCCUUGGAACAGGACGUCACAGAGGGUGAGAAUCCCGUACGUGGUCGCUGGCUAUUGCCGUGUAAAGCCCCUUCGACGAGUCGAGUUGUUUGGGAAUGCAGCUCUAAAUGGGAGGUACAUUUCUUCUAAAGCUAAAUAUUGGCCAGAGACCGAUAGCGCACAAGUAGAGUGAUCGAAAGAUGAAAAGCACUUUGGAAAGAGAGUCAAACAGCACGUGAAAUUGUUGAAAGGGAAGCGCUUGCAGCCAGACUUGCUUACAGUUGCUCAUCGGGUUUCUACCCGGUGCACUCUUCUGUAGGCAGGCCAGCAUCAGUUUGGGCGGUAGGAUAAAGGUCUCUGUCACGUACCUCUUUCGGGGAGGCCUUAUAGGGGAGACGACAUACUACCAGCCUGGACUGAGGUCCGCGCAUCUGCUAGGAUGCUGCGAAUCACGACCUCUGGUUUA